rnacentral:rRNA from 1 species
UACGUAGGGGGCUAGCGUUGUCCGGAAUCAUUGGGCGUAAAGAGCGUGUAGGCGGCCCGGUAAGUCCGCUGUGAAAGUCGGGGCUCAACCCUCGAAUGCCGGUGGAUACUGUCGGGCUAGAGUGCGGAAGAGGCGAGUGGAAUUCCUGGUGUAGCGGUGAAAUGCGCAGAUAUCAGGAGGAACACCAGUUGCGAAGGCGGCCGACUGGACACAUAUUGACGCUGAGGCUCGAAAGCAUGGGGAGCAAACAGG